CGUCAUCUUAUGGUAUUUUGUGGCUUCAUUGUUUUACAGUUAUUGCAUGUUCAGUGUGUUUGGGGUGAGUACCAAUUACAUAACACAGCACAGUCAAUGAAUCCAGCUACAUUUAUUUAUCUAUUUAUCUAUCUUUCCACAUAUCCAACGAAAUAAGAAGAAAGUGAUAUCUGUUGUGGAGAUUCACCAGGCCAUACAGCAGCUAAAAAAGAGCAAUUAAAGAUGGAAUACUUCUGUUUCGGUCAACGAUGGCCUUUGGGCCAAAGUCUGCAAGGAACUGGGAAUUCCAAACAAGUCAACUGGUUUCAGACUUUCUUUUUCCCAAAAGGGGGCAUCUACUUCCACCACUGGUGACAUCAGUAAUGCAGAAGACCAAAGACAGGAGGGGAAUGGGGGACAACAGCUAAAACGAGGAUGUCAAUCCUUUGCCCACCAUGGAUACCUGCCAUGAUCCAGGAGAAGGGGGUGACCAUCCUCUUCAUGAGCCUCUUGUGCAGACAACCAUUUUCUUUAAACAGCAAACUACCAGAUAGGUACAUUCACUUCAUCUGCCAUGACAGGCAUUCAAGAUAAAACCCUACCAGGAAUGUUCCUCAAACUUGGUGAGAAAUAUCUGUUUAUUUAAUAAAUUUAUUCAUUUCAUAAAAAAAA